AUGCGGAUGGCAGAGUGGUUGAAUGCAGCGCACUCGAAAUGCGGCGUACUCGCGAGGUGUUGGAGGCUCGAGCCCCCUUCUCCAGA
rnacentral:tRNA from 1 species